UUCAAACCAAUUUUUACCCCCCUUUUUCUCCUGCUCCGUGCGAACCACCACCACCCUCAGUGGCUGUUGCCACUGAAACCACCACCAAUCAACGCCUCCUCCACCACCCACCAUCCUUUACCAUCGCAGCUAACCAGAACCACCACCUACCCUCACCAUACCUCCCUUCGCUCUCCCUCCUCCUUCGAUAUACUCCCCUGCCUCCCUUCCCUCUCCUCUUCGUUGCACCACCAAAGCAACACCACCACUCCGUCAGUCACCAAUCACCAACCCCACGAACCACCAGCCACCGCGUCGACCGCCUAGAACCGCCCCAAGUCACCACCACCAAUUCCCCUGUUUCUCUCCCCUGUCCCUCCCUGCUCGUGCUCCCCCUUCCUUUCUCUCACCGUCGCACUGCCCUCAACCACCAUCGCCGGAGCGCUUUAGCGCCGCCGUACCGCCCAGGCUUCAGCCGCCACCUUCUCUUCCCUUCCUCUCUUUCGUGCCUGUUGCUUGCUCCUCCCCUCUGCUCGACAUUCACAAAGUCAGGAAACCAAUUUUCUGACUUGUGAAUUGUUCCCUUUAACCCAAAAUAAAAGGGGAUGGGCCCAAAUUCUAAUGGGUUUUGAAAUUGGACUCAGAGUUCAAGAAGAACGGUCCAUCGAACGGGACGUAUAAACUACGGUUGAGGUACGAAGAAGAUCAUGGGAUGCCUUAGAGUGAGGAUGCAACCAUCAAAGUCACGAUCGAUGUUUAAUAAAGAUAGCUAUGUCAUUAGUAAUAAAGGGAUGUAUUAAUUAAACUCUAAGUUUGAUUUCACGAUUUGAGUUAGAUUUUCAAAUUAAUGAUUAAACAUGUUAGAAAUAUUUAUUAAGAUUUCAAUGUAAUUUUUAAAGAAUUAAUCGAAGUGAAGCAUAAUUACUGUUACUCAACAGUAGUCAGUAAAUGUAAAAAGGUUAUGUCGCCUUGUAUUUCCCACGAGGGAGAUACGGCAAGUGACGCUCCGACUAAAUUAGGGUUUCCGCUGCUAAUUAAAGAUAAUUAACCUAAUUAAUGGUGUUUAGAAG